CUUCAUCCUCUCCUCUUCACUCACCCUCACACUUUGAUGCGCUGCAUCCCGCUCUACUUUGUUUUGUUUAUUUUUUUUUGCUGUGGGUCAGAUCGAAACUGCAGCUCCCACACCAAUUAUAGAGAGUAAAAACUGCCCGAGUGAGGGUGAUGUUUUCUCUUACACUCUGUUGCUGGUACUGUUGAGGACACACGGUCCCCACUUCCUCCACUGCCAGCUGACCGUGGGAGCUGGGAGGCCAUAGGCGGUACACGUUAGCGUCUGGCCGCUGCCGCUGGGGGCCGCUGCAUUGUUCUUCAGCACCACCGUGUAGAGGCCAGCAUCGCCGGGACCGACAUCCUUGAUCUCCAAGGCGUGGUUCAGGCCAUUUCUGUUAUUGCCCCACUCAACACUGAAGAGUGGCAGAAGGCUCCACUGAAGAGAUGUAGGGACAACUCUUCGGAGGCUAUCACAGCUGGUAUUAGGCGAGGAUGUAGCAAAUUUGCAUUCUGCCAGAACUGUCCCAGGAGGAGAUGAAUUUGUAGACACCUGAAGCUUCAUGUUGCGUUUUUCAUCAAAUACUCAUGAACCUCUCCAAUUAAUACAAAAUGUGAAUGUAGCUGCCCACGCUUACGUUUAUCAACCACUGUGAAUUUCUAAUUUAUAAAUGGUUAAUCGAGCUUGUCUCUGGGGUCUGACUGAUGCAAAGUCAACAACCGCGCUUCUAAUUACGCCGAAGCGGCUUUGAAAUUGAAAUGAUAUUGGAAUGGGAGAAGUGUUUUCGUAGAAGAGCUGAUGUUUUUUGCCCCCAAAUUCCCAACAAAAUGAGAAACUAAACACCAAGCCCAGAUGGUUGGGCUGACCAUCUUUGGCACAAGGUGAAAUGACUUCUUCAGUGAGAGAACGACUUGGGAUGAAAAAGAGAAACUGCCGACUCAUUGCAGCAGCAGUAAAAACAAAAUGACUGUUCAAACGCAGGGAAGAGGAUGUUUUCUCCAAACCCAUCUUUUUUUCAAAAGCGCGCACUGCAUAUCACCUUUUUUUCGGCUUUUCCCUAUUUGGUCUUUUGGAUGAGAGCGCUCCAAUUUUAAGGCUCAUUACUUUUUAAGUUUUGGCAUAUGUUUUACGGACGCCCUUCCAUAUUUAUCAUGGUUAGCCGAGCUGGCUCUCCCUCUCUCCCCAGAUGCUAAGUUCUACACUGUCUCAAAUGCGAUGAAUAAUUGUUAAUAAGCCUCAAAUGAACAGUGUGUGUGUAGUACUAACUGUAUUAGGGGAGCGGGGGACAUUCAUUUCAACCUUCAAUGUGUAAAGAAUGUUGUAUUUAAUACAGAGUAGUGAUUUCAUCCAUGCAUCCGCUUUAUAACACUUACCCUUGACUGUUUGCCACUCAGUUAAAGUAACUGUAAAUGGGUACUGAAGGUAAUGGCGAACCCUGUCUAGAACUCAAGUGGUGUUUUUAAUAACACUUCAACACACCUCUCAGUUCCUUAGUACAGCACUAAUAUUAGUGUUUCUAUGCAGAUGAAGGAUCUAUGGAUGGAUAUAAAGGAUACAUAAAUGUGAGUACUAUUAUAUUCUCAGUGCACAUGUUGCUGCUGCACCAUUUGUGUUCACAUAUAUGUUAGUGUAUACAUUAUGCGAGCGGACUAAGAGAC